rnacentral:rRNA from 1 species
UACGGGGGGGGCAAGCGUUGUUCGGAAUUACUGGGCGUAAAGGGCUCGUAGGUGGCCAACUAAGUCAGACGUGAAAUCCCUCAGCUUAACUGGGGAACUGCGUCUGAUACUGGAUGGCUUGAGUUUGGGAGAGGGAUGCGGAAUUCCAGGUGUAGCGGUGAAAUGCGUAGAUAUUCGGAAGAACACCAGUGGCGAAGGCGACUUACUGGACACAUAUUGACGCUGAGGUGCGAAAGCGUGGGGAGCAAACAGG